GAUAAAUGUCCUGAUUGUCCCCGGUCUCCAUGUAAAUAGAAAUGUAACUGGCACCGGGCUGCAGGGUCACGUGCACAUUCUCUCAUGAAAAUAUUAGGCCCAUAGUACAUUCGAUUGUUUGCUUUUAUGACCAGUAAGUCAUUAACAUAAUGCGUUUUAUUAUUAGCCUACUUUGAACAGAUGAGACGCAAUCACCAGCGACCGGACGAGAACCCCCACGGAUGCCUCCACGAUGACUUGGAUGGGGAUGUUGAAGGUGUGGCCGGGGCUGGGAGGUGUUGGGUGCCCGGAGGGCUGGUACCCGCCCAGGGCCAGCCUCAGCCCAGGCAGACGGUGGCUCUGCUUGAAAGCAGAGGGUCCCUCUGCGCCUCUCACUCUUGUGUCACGCGGUAUGUAAAAUUUCGCUUUCUCAGUCGCGGAGAAACAUUGUUGCCAGUGGCACGCUGGGAAAUUGACUGGAGAAAGUUUUGGUGAAUUUACCGAUGGCAACGCACCUGGGACAUCCUGCCGGAACGCUGGGCUGCAAAGAUGGGUCAGGAUUCAUCUCUGACCACGUAGGAAGGCGAUGACCGUUUCCGUGUUCGGUGCUGGAGGGCUGCAGGGGGCCCAGGUGGGGUCAGAGGAGUCCUGUACAGUACAGGAGUGAGCGUGGAAGGCAGGCUUUCUGGGAGGUGCUGGAGCUUGAGUUGAAUCACCAGAAGUGUCCCUGUUUGAACCUGUUUUUAAGACUGAAUUCAUGUCAAAUGAAAGCCGAAUGCUGACAAUAAAAACGGCAGCAGCAAGCGUUUACUGAGCACGUCCUAUGUGCUACGCAGGCACUCUGCCAAAGCCGGGUAUUAUUAGCUCGUGUAACCUGACAGCAACUUUACGAAGAUGAUACUCUGGGGGGGGCCCCUCUUUUAGGUGAGAAGAUCGAGGCACAGGGAGGUUAAUAACUUGCCACAGACCACGGAUCUCGUGAAACGUGGAGCUGAGGUUGAACGCAGGCGCCGGGACCCUGUAGCUACAAUCUCAACCACUGAGGAUACACUGCUUCAAAUAACUUCACAGUAUACAAUGUAACGGAAAGCUUCCCAGGAGUUCGAAUUGAGCAAACAAGACCGGUUUAAACCACCACACAUGCCCUCAAGAGCCCGGGGCCGCGACGUCAGUCUCAUAUUGGCAGAACGAUCAGAUGUUCCGAUCACAGAGCCUGCCAGCUUGGCGACAGUUCAUUAGCUGUAAGUGUAGUCGUAAAUGUGCCAUGAAGAAAUUUUCUGUAACCAAUUCCAGUAAUAAUUGGAUUAGAUACUUUGUUAGUGCAGGUUUCAAUAAAGCUGCAAUGUGAACUUCA